UCAAAUAUGGCCUUUAUCGCAUAAACAGGAAAUGAAAGACACUGUUAAAGAGUUCACCGAACAGCUAAAGAAGGACAAUCCCCAAUCAGCAGUGGUGUAUAUAUCUAGCCAUGGCAAUGAAAAGGGCGUUCAAGGAAAGGACGGAGGGAUACUCCAAAUUCGAGAUUUGCUGGAAAUGUUUUCAGGAGUACUGCUUGGCAAACCAAAGGUUCUCAUCAUAGAUGCAUGCUGGGGAGAUGAUGAAACGAAUCGCUUACCAAUCUCUGCGUCCAGUUCUUCUUCAGCAGCAUCAACCACAACUUUCUUACCGGAGAACGCUGAUAUCUUUAUGAUACACUCCACUUCAUACGG